UGUGGAUGAUUGACACGUAGGCCUGCCCACUUAGACUUACCCUAGAUGUGGGUGGCACCAACCAAUCGGCUUGCAUCCUGGACAGAAUAAAAAGGUGGGAGAGCUCCGGUUUUCACCACUGUCUUUGGACACCAAUCUUCAAUUUCUUCAGCCUUGCAAUGCAGACUUACAGGAAGGACUACAUUGAGGUUGUAGGUUUUUGACCUUGGACUGGGGCUGCUCCCCCCACCCCCCGAUCCCUCCCUUUUGUUCUGCAGCUUCUGCAUUCUUGGGCUGAGCUCCUAAUGAAUUCUCUGGCUCUUCUGCACGCAGAUGGCCAUGGCGGAGAUUCACUUUUCUCAACUGUAAAAUUGAGGGGGGCAUGGGGGCCCUGAAUCCCUUUGCUGGUCUACAACCCUGCUGUUUGCUCAUGUGACUUCCUCUGCCUGGAAUGUCCUUCCUGCUCCUGGCUAUUCCUACACACUGGGAAUCAGGCUUAUUAACAUUCACUGUAACCUUUCCCGAGUUUCUCUUUCCUCUGCAGGUUUUCUCUCCUCUCUGGGCACCUAGCGCCUUCUACUUCUGCACUGAGGUUGCUGGUGAACCCAGAGUUCGUCACGGUAAUGUUGAAAUUCGUCAGGGAAGGACCUGCCUUGGAUUGAUGUUCACUCCUUUGAGGUCCGGCAAGAUUUAGAUGGGUGAAAUGAGCCAGCCCCACUCUUGUGCUGGCUUGAUCAGCUCUGAGCCGGGAGAGGGACCCCAGCAGAGGAGUCUUGCUUGCCAUGUAUGGAAGGAGGUGGAGGAUGGACACAUGGGAGGCCUGAGCUCAGGCUGUUGGUUCACGGCCUUGCCCAGGAGUGGGCAGCCCUGCUGUGUAGGACAUUUUCCUGGUGCCCUGCCUGGCUCGCCUUCAUUGGGUGGUGUGUCCCUCUCCAAGCUGUUGUGCAUGCCGGCUGCUAACAGCUCUCAGCUGCUGAGGGAAUUGUUCUUGGUGGCAGGUGCCAUCUCCCCUAGGAGGUCAUGCUUGCUGUCUCAUCUGUGGAACAGAACAGAUAAUGACUGA
rnacentral:lncRNA from 1 species